rnacentral:rRNA from 1 species
CCCAAAACUGGGGAAUAGCCCUCCGAAAGGAGGAUUAAUACCCCGUAACAUAACGAAUAGGCAUCUCUUUGUUAUUAUAGCUCAGGCGGUUUUGGAUGGGCGUGCGGCUGAUUAGGUAGUUGGCGGGGUAACGGCCCACCAAGCCUGCGAUCAGUAACUGGUGUGAGAGCACGACCAGUCACACGGGCACUGAGACACGGGCCCGACUCCUACGGGAGGCAGCAGUAAGGAAUAUUGGUCAAUGGACGCAAGUCUGAACCAGCCAUGCCGCGUGAAGGAUGAAGGCCCUCUGGGUUGUAAACUUCUUUUAUCUGGGACGAAAAAAGGGAAUUCUUUCUCACUUGACGGUACCAGAGGAAUAAGCACCGGCUAACUCCGUGCCAGCAGCCGCGGUAAUACGGAGGGUGCAAGCGUUAUCCGGAUUCACUGGGUUUAAAGGGUGCGUAGGUGGGCAGGUAAGUCAGUGGUGAAAUCUCCGAGCUUAACUCGGAAACUGCCAUUGAUACUAUCUGUCUUGAAUAUCCUGGAGGUGAGCGGAAUAUGUCAUGUAGCGGUGAAAUGCUUAGAUAUGACAUAGAACACCAAUUGCGAAGGCAGCUCACUACGGGAUUAUUGACACUGAGGCACGAAAGCGUGGGGAUCAAACAGGAUUAGAUACCCUGGUAGUCCACGCCCUAAACGAUGGAUACUCGACAUACGCGAUACACUGUGUGUGUCUGAGCGAAAGCA